rnacentral:rRNA from 1 species
UACGUAGGGGGCAAGCGUUAUCCGGAUUUACUGGGUGUAAAGGGAGCGUAGGUGGCUGUGCAAGUCUGAUGUGAAAACCCGGGGCUUAACCCCGGGACUGCAUUGGAAACUGUGCAGCUAGAGUGCAGGAGAGGUAAGUGGAAUUCCUAGUGUAGCGGUGAAAUGCGUAGAUAUUAGGAGGAACACCAGUGGCGAAGGCGGCUUACUGGACUGUAACUGACACUGAGGCUCGAAAGCGUGGGGAGCAAACAGG